UGGGCAGGAUGGUGUAGUGAGGGUUCUGUGCAAAAGAGAAUUGCAAGGCUCCAAGUGAAACCCUGGAGUACAGGACAGUACUACAGUGUGCUGCCUUCCCUGUAAGAAAAGGAGGGAAAGGAUUUGCAUUGCUCAUAUGUACAUAAAAUAUCUACAGAAAGCUCCUCAGGAAACCGAAAAUAAUGGUCACCUCUCGGUAUCGGACCUGGAUGGCCUUCAACAGAUUGGAUGAGGCCCACCGACCAUAGUGAGAGAACCUGCUUUACUCUGCCUACUGAUUCAAAUGGGCAUCUCAUCUGGAAACAUCCUCUCAGACAUAACCAGAGAACUGCUUGGCCAAACAUCUGGGCACCCGGUUGCCCGGUUACAUUGACACAUCAAAUUACCCAUCACUCUUCUUUUCCACUGAGCAUUAAUCACACCGGGAUUUCAGGAGGUACCAGGCCUGCUUCCUGAGGCAUCACAGAGAAGAAGGUAAAGCUGCACAGUCGUCCUGAGACUCAAUGCCAUGUGCUGCCUGCAGUUGGAAAGCAAACCAUCUACACAGUGGAAUCCACGAGGAUUCAGUGGUGAUGUAUCUAAAAUUCAGGAAUCGUUACUUUGCUCUCCUUCACGAACCAGGAGCCUUUUCUCCCUCGAUGGCAGAAGGUCUUGGCUUGCACAGUGAGGGCUGCAGGUACAGUGGUUAAGAGGAACCAUGGCCACUGCUCCGAUUGCAUAGCAUCCAGUGCAAGACCAAAUGCGGGGAACCUGAUAGCAUCAAAUUCUAAAAUAAAAGUAUAAUAAUGGUGG